AAGGUUUUAAGUUAACUUAAACUAAUAUCCUUCAAAGCUAUCAAUAAAGUAAAGUCUUUAAGCCUUA
rnacentral:tRNA from 1 species